rnacentral:lncRNA from 1 species
UCAACUUCUAAACUCAAUUCUGGAGCUACCUGGCUUUAGGAGAAGACUUGGAAGUGUAGAAAAGAUAGCAAGGACCCUAAGUAAGAGCCUUAAUCCCUGCUUAGUCAUUUUAAUUAGCUUAUGUUCCUAAAAGUCAAACCGUCAUUAGGAGCCCAGUAAAAGCUACGUGCACUUGCUGUAUUUGAAUUAUACUUUGCUCAGGUAAAUACUCUUAACUUAUUUUCCCUAUGCGGGCUUGGGAUACGGUACUAUAAAAGUACCGCUUGGUCGGGUUUGUGUAGUCAUUUAAAUCGGAUUGUGAUUAAUGUAUUUGCAUGACCCGUUUGAUAUGUAUUAUUUGGUGUAUGGCCUUUGGGGGUUAAAUGACCAUGUCCCGGAUAUCCUUGGCAUCAUUCAUGAAAUGGCCACGACCUAAGCACGGGGUGUAGGCGUACACCUGACAGCUGCCUUAUGUAAAAACUGGUAUCCCACUUAAAGGAAUCAACCUUGUGGGCACUAUACCUGUGGCGUGUCAGUUAACUUAAGUCCGGCCCUACAAACCGGCCCUGAUGGACGGCAA